CACCCGCCCACACGGUUUGCCGUGUUUUCACCCUUCUUUGUUCUCCACCGGUCUGGGCAGGGUCUGAGGACUCCGGAGAGCAAGGCAUGGGUCCGCCUCGUGCCGCAGGUUCCUGGCCCACGCCAGCCGUACCCAGUAGCACAAUGGUAAGCGCAUGCUGGCGAGAGGUAGGCGGUGUGAGGAGGGGCUGGUUUCGGGGAGAGGACAGUAAUGAUGAUUUCUGGUGAUUCUGAGUGUCUCGCUGACGCCAUCACCGCAGCGCGCUGACCGUCCCCGGGUCCAAAAUCGGCAGUGGCGUGGGUUUUGAGUGGCCUAGAGUUCUGAGUAAUUUACCUCUGUGUCUUGCUUUCUGGUAGGGAUUUGAGGACACACGCCAGCUGCCUACACCUGAAGAAAGGGUGAGCUCUGAGGACUUCACAGGGGCCCCAUCCCCUCACCUAGAUGAGGGCUAACCUUGGAAUCCAGACAAAGGUGGAAGUGACCUAGAUGUGACCUGAAUGAGCUAAUCAUCUAAUGAGAGCCAGCCCUUUGUCCUGCCCACAUGAAGGGCUUUGCUGCUACGCACUGACAAGUUGGACGGCUUUUUAUUGCUUUGUUGCCAGUUAUCUGAACAUGAGAGGCUGUAAGGUGUAAUCUGCGAGCCCUGCGCCCAGACUGAACCAGGGCCUCCCUUGAACAUGAGUAUUAGACAAAUGAAAUAAGAACUUAUCUUGCCCAGACUAUAUAAUGGCUUGGAAAUGCAUAGUUUCCUGAACGAUCUCAAUAAAAUACUUUUAAAAGUACUUAAAUAGACUUUUUCUGUGUCACUUUGUGGGGAGGUGUGAGAAGAUAUAGGAGCUAGUCAUUUCAUGUGUCUGGUUCCUGGUCCCUUAACAGCAUCUGUUCUGGAAGUACAGAUGAAAAUUCUAUACAGACCUGUAAGGCUGACCAUAGUUUUAGCAGAUUAGCAU
rnacentral:lncRNA from 1 species